GUUUCAGCCGCCGCGGUAAUACGGAGGGAGCAAGCGUUGUUCGGAAUUACUGGGCGUAAAGCGCAUGUAGGCGGCCCAACAAGUCGAAUGUGAAAUCCCGGAGCUCAACUCCGGAACUGCAUACGAUACUGUUGGGCUCGAGUCUCGGAGAGGAUGGCGGAAUUUCCGGUGUAGAGGUGAAAUUCGUAGAUAUCGGAAGGAACACCAGUGGCGAAGGCGGCCGUCUGGACGAUGACUGACGCUGAGAUGCGAAAGCGUGGGGAGCAAACAGGAUUAGAUACCCGGGUAGUCC
rnacentral:rRNA from 1 species